rnacentral:rRNA from 1 species
CAGUCGCCGCGGUAAUACGAAGGGGGCUAGCGUUGUUCGGAUUUACUGGGCGUAAAGCGCACGUAGGCGGAUCGAUCAGUCAGGGGUGAAAUCCCAGAGCUCAACUCUGGAACUGCCUUUGAUACUGUCGAUCUGGAGUAUGGAAGAGGUGAGUGGAAUUCCGAGUGUAGAGGUGAAAUUCGUAGAUAUUCGGAAGAACACCAGUGGCGAAGGCGGCUUACUGGCUCAUUCUAGACGCUGAGGUGCGAAAGCGUGGGGAGCAAACAGGAUUAGAUACCCCUGUAGUCCCUGUCUCUUUACC